UCCUUCUUACCUCAGUUGGUAGAGCACAUCACUAGAUCUUAACUAGAGUGAACGGACAUUAAUAUUGCUAAUGACGAGAUCAGUCGUUCAAACCGACCAGAAGGAA